rnacentral:rRNA from 1 species
CCUACGGGGGGCAGCAGUGGGGAAUAUUGCACAAUGGGCGCAACCCUGAUGCAGCGACGCCGCGUGAGUGAAGAAGUCCUUCGUUAUGUAAAGCUCUUUCAGCAGGGAAGAAAAUGACGGUACCUGAGUAAGAAGCCCCGGCUAACUACGUGCCAGCAGCCGCGGUAAUACGUCGGGGGAAAGCGUUAUCCGGAUUUAAUGGGUGUAAAGGGAGCGUAGACGGCAGUGCAAGUCUGGAGGGAAAGGCGGGGGCUCAACCCCCGGAUUGCACUGGAAACUGGACGGCUUGAGUGCAGGAGAGGUAAGUGGAAUUCCUGGUGUAGCGGUGAAAUGCGUAGAUAUAAGGAGGAACACCAGUGGCGAAGGCGGCUGACUGGACUGAAACUGACGUUGAGGCUCGAAAGCGUGGAGAGCAAACAGGAUUAGAUACCCUGGUAGUC